CUCUACAGCCAUGCAACCCUGGAUAAGCCUCUGACUUCUGAUCUCAGAAGCUAAGCAGGGUCGAGUCUGGUUAAUACUUGGAUGGGAGACCACCUAGGAAGACCAGGUACUAUAGGCA
rnacentral:rRNA from 1 species